rnacentral:rRNA from 1 species
GAUGAACGCUGGCGGCGUGCCUAAUACAUGCAAGUCGAGCGAACGGACGAGAAGCUUGCUUCUCUGAUGUUAGCGGCGGACGGGUGAGUAACACGUGGAUAACCUACCUAUAAGACUGGGAUAACUUCGGGAAACCGUAGCUAAUACCGGAUAAUAUUUUGAACCGCAUGGUUCAAAAGUGAAAGACGGUCUUGCUGUCACUUAUAGAUGGAUCCGCGCUGCAUUAGCUAGUUGGUAAGGUAACGGCUUACCAAGGCAACGAUGCAUAGCCGACCUGAGAGGGUGAUCGGCCACACUGGAACUGAGACACGGUCCAGACUCCUACGGGAGGCAGCAGUAGGGAAUCUUCCGCAAUGGGCGAAAGCCUGACGGAGCAACGCCGCGUGAGUGAUGAAGGUCUUCGGAUCGUAAAACUCUGUUAUUAGGGAAGAACAUAUGUGUAAGUAACUGUGCACACCUUGACGGUACCUAAUCAGAAAGCCAUGGCUAACUACGUG